AUGAGAGCAGAACAUUUACCUGUUCUCUUUCACCUUCUCUCUCCCUCUCUGUCUCUCUCUCUCUCUCUCUCUCUCUCUCUCUCUGUCUUUCUCAGUUUCCUUUUCAGUGGAAUUGACAGCUUGCUAGUUACAUGGUUCUUCCUUUGGAUUUUACAAGUGGAACAUUUAGCCACAAGAGGGCAGCAUGGUGCAAUGAAAAGGUGCUCAGUUUUGGAGUUGUAUGAACUGAGUUCAAGUUCUGCUAUUCUCUCUGUGUUUGUCUUUGUAUUCCUGGUGCCUGGAACAGUGCCUUUCACCCACCCAGUAGUUACUUAA
rnacentral:lncRNA from 1 species